rnacentral:rRNA from 1 species
CCUACGGUGCGCAGCAGUCGAGAAUCAUUCACAAUGGGGGAAACCCUGAUGGUGCGACGCCGCGUGGGGGAAUGAAGGUCUUCGGAUUGUAAACCCCUGUCAUGUGGGAGCAAAUUAAAAAGAUAGUACCACAAGAGGAAGAGACGGCUAACUCUGUGCCAGCAGCCGCGGAAAUACAGAGGUCUCAAGCGUUGUUCGGAAUCACUGGGCGUAAAGCGUGCGUAGGCUGUUUCGUAAGUCGUGUGUGAAAGGCGCGGGCUCAACCCGCGGACGGCACAUGAUACUGCGAGACUAGAGUAAUGGAGGGGGAACCGGAAUUCUCGGGGUAGCAGUGAAAUGCGUAGAUAUCGAGAGGAACACUCGUGGCGAAGGCGGGUUCCUGGACAUUAACUUACGCUGAGGCACGAAGGCCAGGGGAGCGAAAGGGAUUAGAUACCCGGGUAGUC